UUCAUGACUUCAGAUGAAAAGGACUCUUCGCCAGAUGCUGAGCCUCAAGCUGAGAACUUUGCAUUCAUGACCAAAAUCCUGUCAGCUCCUGUUCAUGGACUCACUGCUGAAGAGAAAAAGUUGAUGUGAAAUGUGAAGAGACACUUGGGGGAGAACAAGUUUUAAAUUCUGAUUCACAAAAACCUUGUUUUGAUGAAAAUAAUCCUGAUCUUAUUUUGGGACAAAGUAUUUUUAGCAUGUUACUUUCUUUAGCUGGUAAUGGGCCUGAUGUUUUGGGCAA